rnacentral:rRNA from 1 species
GGUCAAGUGACUAAGAGCAUAUGGUGGAUGCCUUGGCGAUGAUAGGCGACGAAAGACGUGAUAGCCUGCGAUAAGCUUCGGGGAGCUGGCAAAUAAGCUUUGAUCCGGAGAUUUCUGAAUGGGGGAACCCACCUCGCAAGAGGUAUCGUGCACUGAAUACAUAGGUGCUCGAAGCGAACCUGGAGAACUG